rnacentral:rRNA from 1 species
GACGAACGCUGGCGGCGUGCUUAACACAUGCAAGUCGAACGGAAAGGCCCUGCUUGCAGGGUACUCGAGUGGCGAACGGGUGAGUAACACGUGGGUGAUCUGCCCUGCACUUCGGGAUAAGCCAGGUAAACUGGGUCUAAUACCGGAUAGGAGCCAUUUUUAGUGGGAUGGUUGGAAAGUUUUUUCGGUGUAGGAUGAGCUCGCGGCCUAUCAGCUUGUUGGUGUGGUAAUGGCCUACCAAGGCGGCGACGUGUAGCCGGCCUGAGAGGGUGGACGGCCACACUGGGACUGAGGGGCGGCACAGACUGCGACGGGAGGCAGCAGUGGGGAAGAUUGCACAAUGGGCGCAAGCCUGAUGCAGAGACGCCGCGUGGGGGAUGACGGCCUUCGGGUUGUAAACUAAUUUCGCUAGGGACGAAGCUUUUUGUGACGGUACCUAGACAAGAAGCACCGGCUAACUACGUG